rnacentral:rRNA from 1 species
CAGUCGCCGCGGGAACACCGAGGGUGCAAGCGUUAAUCGGAAUUACUGGGCGUAAAGCGCGCGUAGGUGGUUUGUUAAGUUGGAUGUGAAAUCCCCGGGCUCAACCUGGGAACUGCAUCCAAAACUGGCAAGCUAGAGUAUGGUAGAGGGUGGUGGAAUUUCCUGUGUAGCGGUGAAAUGCGUAGAUAUAGGAAGGAACACCAGUGGCGAAGGCGACCACCUGGACUGAUACUGACACUGAGGUGCGAAAGCGUGGGGAGCAAACAGGAUUAGAUACCCCUGUAGUCCCUGUCUCUUAUAC